rnacentral:rRNA from 1 species
CAAGGAAUUUUCCGCAAUGGGCGCAAGCCUGACGGAGCAACGCCGCGUGCAGGAAGACGGCCUUCGGGUUGUAAACUGCUUUUGUUGGGGAAGAUACGGACGGUACCCAACGAAUCAGCCCCGGCUAACUCUGUGCCAGCAGCCGCGGUAAUACAGAGGGGGCAAGCGUUGUCCGGACUUACUGGGCGUAAAGCGCACGCAGGUGGUAGCGCAAGUGGGGUGUGAAAGCCGCCAGCUCAACUGGCGGAGGCCAUCCCAAACUGCGUCACUUGAGGCCUGUAGAGGUAUGUGGAAUUGCCGGUGUAGUGGUGAAAUGCGUAGAGAUCGGCAGGAACACCCAGGGGGAAACCAGCAUACUGGACAGGACCUGACACUCAGGUGCGACAGCGUGGGGAGCGAACCGGAUUAGAUACCCGCGUAGUCC